rnacentral:rRNA from 1 species
UCGGUGACAGGUGGUGCAUGGUUGUCGUCAGCUCGUGUCGUGAGAUGUUGGUUAAGUCCCGCAACGAGCGCAACCCCUAUUGUUAGUUGCCAUCAUUCAGUUGGGCACUCUAGCGAGACUGCCGGUAAUAAACCGGAGGAAGGUGGAGAUGACGUCAAAUCAUCAUGCCCCUUAUGACCUGGGCUACACACGUGCUACAAUGGGCGGUACAAAGGGUCGCGAACCCGCGAGGGGGAGCCAAUCCCAAAAAGCCGCUCUCAGUUCGGAUUGCAGGCUGCAACUCGCCUGCAUGAAGCCGGAAUCGCUAGUAAUCGCGGAUCAGCAUGCCGCGGUGAAUACGUUCCCGGGCCUU